UGCGUUAGCCAAAUAAAGGACGGGACUGCACCCUUCACAAACCGUAAAAUAGUCAGUCUUAUCAGGACCCCUUUCUUGCACUUUCAUAAAUAAUUCGCAUUAGUUUAAUAUUUAAUUACAAAGAAAAUCCUAUUUUGCCUCUUCCAGUGUAGAGCUCAUACACUGAGGGCAGUGUAAGCUCUCAUACAAUGGAGAAACCUGUAGGUAAAGAUGAGCCGCCUGAUGGCCAUCUUCCUGCAUGGACCCACAUGAUUGAUGGCAGAGUGCAACAGGUAAAGGUGAUAACCAGUAUUCAUUCAUUUUCCAUUCUUCACCGGGACUAAUGUGGCUGCUGACCAUGAGUAUUAUAACAAAGUUGUGGAGAAAUGCCUCCUUCAAAGAGCAAAAAUCCUGACAUCUACCCCUACCGAGGCACUCCUUCACAAGCAGGAGCUGGUUGACAUAAAUUCAUGUUUAGUGGGCAUUCAGGAAUUCAGAUCUAUGAGACGUGCGAUGGAUCAGCAACUGAACAUGUCUAAUAACGCUGUAGGGAAGAAGAGAAGACAGAGGGGAAAAGGCACGUGCUGUCGCUAAGACAGAGGCUCAGGAGUCCACUGAUAAAGCUGAGAGUAUGGAAACCCGUAAACCACCUGAGAAAGAAAUGCUCCAAGGUGUAACCAAAGAUAUGACGCCUCAAACCGAGAGCAACACACCUACAUGUAUCCAAGAACCAAAGAUUAAAGAGAAUGAAAACAAUGUCUGUGCGACUAAAGGAGUUUCUGAGUUCCUUGCAUCAACUGUGGAUGAGGAAGAUGAAGAUAAGAAAUUCGAUGUGUUUGUCCUCUCUACUGAUGUGUCCUCCUCGC